rnacentral:antisense_RNA from 1 species
GACCCCAACCCCGGGCUCGACCCAACUUUCUAGGACAGUCGACACGGCCGGUGCCCCCGCGCCAGCAGCCCGGCCCAGUUCUCUCCGCCAGAGCUCUCCCGCUCACCGUCUGGGGCGAAGGCGACAGGCUGAGGCUCAGUUUUUUCACUCGCCACAUCUUCAACCAGAAGGCAGGCCGAUCACGCCUCAGACCAAGUCGAGGACGCCAUGUUCACCCGCCGUCUGUGUUUGAACCUGCUCUGCGCUUCCCAAUUGGCUGCUUCAGGCAGGCGCGUCCGCUCGGGGUUAGAGCCCGGGGGGCGGGGCCCGCGCUGACCACGCCCCCGGCCCUGCCUGCCCCUCGGUUGUCCAGCGCUUUCCGCUGAUGGAGCCCUCACCGCAGACACCAGCGGUAGGGCUGGAUGCGGGCCCGGCCCGGGACCGGUCUUGUGUCCUCACACCGGGGAGGACCACGCAGGUAGCUGGAGAGUCCAGGAGUCCAUCCCUCCUGCUUCCAGCGGACCCCCUCACAUCCGUGGUGUUCAUAUCCAAGUUGUCUCCGUGGAUGGAGAAGAGGAAUCCUCUCCCUAGGUCUCCCUCAGUCCUCUCCAGCCGCAGCCUUGACUGGAAAGAGCCGGCCAGGGAGUCUAGAAGCCGAAGCGGUGCCGAGCGGCUUCCCUAGGCUUGGUGGGCCCGCGUCCGGGACGGCCCAGGCCGUGGUUCUCGACCUGAGCUGUAAUGUCUCCAGUUUCUGGGCUUUUCCUGGGACUUGCUCAGGCCGGCUACCAGUUUACUGGGCUAACCGCCUACACGUAUUGAACACUGAGUGUGUGCCUGGCGCUGUGCCGAAUGCCGUGUAGUAGCUCAUUUAAUGCGCAUAAGGACCUACGUAGUGAGAAAUACUAUAAAUAUCCCCAUUUGUGACAGGAAGGAGCUGAGUCAGAGAGACCGUGUGUAAUUUGCUCAGCGUCACACAGAUAGUAAACGGCAGAGCCGCCCUUCCUCCCCGCCCCGCCAGCUCCUGCCUUCUGCUGUCUCGGAUCUCCUUUGCACGGGAAACCUGUUGAAGAAUGGACUCAGAGGAAACCGAAGAAAUCCCAAGCCACACCAAACAGGACCUCAAGACUCUCCCAUUUUUCUAUUAUCAGGGGCAUAUUUGGUACCUCUGGCGAUUUGCGAAAUGACCUUCUGACCCCAGAACUCCGAGUCAAACCCUGUGCCACACCCUUCCCAGGCCCCAGUGGUACUGCAUCAUCUGUUGCAAUCAGCUGCCGAGGCUUCACCACUGGUAUUCCUAUGAAAAAGCAAGUGCACCAGCCGUCAUCCAUCCUUGUUCUGAAGUCUCAGCUGUCUUUGGGGCUGCUACCCUAUUCUUCUGGGGCUCCACCAUAAAAGUUCUCACCAGUAGUCACCAGUUUGGACUUAUCCUCUUCAUCACCAACUUCAUCAUCUUCCACACUUCGGCCAGGAAAGAAAAAGCCCAUCAUUCUAUGGAAGAACUGGUGUGUCAGCUGGAUGGUGAGAGGCACCACAUUUACCUAAAAAGGAAAAAGAUUCAAGAAGCAAUUAAGCUCAGACACCAUCAUCAGUUUACCUACUCCUAAUAUCGUGUAACACACAGCUGGCUUUUGAAUGUCCUUUGUUCCCAGGUCCCUAAGGGACUGCUUACUAACCUCAAAAUGCUCCUUAACAGAGAUACCCCCAACAGGGGGCCGAACUUUGCUGAAGAGGCGGAGAGCUAGCUGUCGCCCAGACUGGCAGGAGCUCUGGGGCCGCAGUACUACCUGUAGGAUAGAGAGUAAACAAGAGCCCAACCCGAUGUCCUUCCUGCCAUAAAGCAACCCACAAAUCCUCUGCAGAAUGAGAGGAGAAGCAAUGGUACUGCUAAGCUGGGCAAGCUUUCACCCUCUCAGAUCACCACAUUGUUUUCCAUAGUGGAUUUAUAUUGAAGGGCCGUUAUAAAUGCCCCGUGCUAAAAACAUGCAAAUGGACUAGGAAUGGGGGAAAAAGACUUGCCUUAUAGACAGCAUUGGGGAGGAGGUUGUUCAUGGUAAACCAGCCCAACUCCAGGAGAUGUUCUGCUGUGUCAUCAGACUUAUUCACCUAUAAAGACAGAUUUCACCCCAUCUACUAUAAUAAACUUUUCUCAGAAGUCUACUAGA